UACAGAGGGUGCGAGCGUUAAUCGGAAUUACUGGGCGUAAAGCGUGCGUAGACGGUUAUUUAAGUCGGAUGUGAAAGCCCCGGGCUCAACCUGGGAAUUGCAUUCGAGACUGAAUAGCUAGGGUACGGUAGAGGGGAGUGGAAUUUCCGGUGUAGCGGUGAAAUGCGUAGAUAUCGGAAGGAACAUCAGUGGCGAAAGCGACUUCCUGGACCAGUACCGACGUUCAGGCACGAAAGCGUGGGGAGCAAACAGG
rnacentral:rRNA from 1 species